GGCCGACUAGCUCAGUUGGUUAGAGCGUCGUGCUAAUACGGGUGCUCGGUGUGAGUGUGACCGGUAAACUAUCUCGCUCUCGCCGGGAAACUUCGAUACGCGAAGGUCUUGGGUUCGAUCCCCACGUUGGCCA